rnacentral:rRNA from 1 species
UGGGGAAUAUUGCACAAUGGGCGCAAGCCUGAUGCAGCCAUGCCGCGUGUAUGAAGAAGGCCUUCGGGUUGUAAAGUACUUUCAGCGGGGAGGAAGGCGAUGAGGUUAAUAACCUUGUCGAUUGACGUUACCCGCAGAAGAAGCACCGGCUAACUCCGUGCCAGCAGCCGCGGUAAUACGGAGGGUGCAAGCGUUAAUCGGAAUUACUGGGCGUAAAGCGCACGCAGGCGGUCUGUCAAGUCGGAUGUGAAAUCCCCGGGCUCAACCUGGGAACUGCAUUCGAAACUGGCAGGCUAGAGUCUUGUAGAGGGGGGUAGAAUUCCAGGUGUAGCGGUGAAAUGCGUAGAGAUCUGGAGGAAUACCGGUGGCGAAGGCGGCCCCCUGGACAAAGACUGACGCUCAGGUGCGAAAGCGUGGGGAGCAAACA